GUGCUCACUUUGGCAGCACAUAUACCAAAACUGGGGCAAUACAGAGAAGAUUAGCACGGCCCCUGAAUCAAGAUGACACUCAGAUUCGUGAAGUGUUCCAUAUUUUU
ensembl:snRNA U6 U6 spliceosomal RNA